CCUCCUUGGGCCACCAUCCCCCCCCCACCCCUGAGCCUUGUUGUGGGCAUGGUCAUCCUUGGAGCUGUGGUCACUGGAGCCGUGGUCACUGGAGCUGUGGCUGGAGCUGUGAUGUGGAGGAGGAAGUGCUCAGGUGGAAAAGGAGGGAGCUAUACUUAGGCUGCCAGCAGCUACAGUACCCAGAGCUCUGAUCAAUCUCUCUUGGCUUUUAAAGCGUGAGGCACGUGCCUUGUGGGGGAACCAGUGAUGGGAGAUUUGUUCGAGCUCCUACUUUGUGAUUCAAGAACCUCUGAUUUCCUUCUGCAAAUGGCAUUUGAAUGUGUGUGUUCCCAUCAGCAUAACGUGAGGAGGUGGGAGGCUGGCCCACACCUGCCCACCACUCACCCUUCUCACACUUUCCUGUCCAUCAGAGCCCGGCUGGGCCCUCCCCAUCCCUGUCUUUACUUUGUGGUGCUCAGUGGGGGACUGAGUCAUGCGACGUUUGUCCAUACUCCCACUUUGUGACUCAAGUGAAAGGUUAGCAUGGUGAUACGUGGGCAGGCUACAUAGCCAUCUGGAAUGGAAAUUUUUAAAAAAAAGAAUUUAUUUAAGGAAAGAGGGUGGGGGAUGGGAUACUCAAAGGGAAGGGCUGCACAGCACCGAGCCAAGUGGAGGUUGGGUGGAUGGAUGAUGGCAACACCCAAGAUGUGGAGUUUCAUCCUUCUUUGCAGUCACUGGCAGGAAACUCUGGUCAGUGGGUCUGGGGGCUGAAUAGGUGGCUUGGAAUGGGGAUAGAAUGCAGUUGUGGGAUCAGGUGUCUUUUGGAAAAUUUCAGUUGCUUACAUGGUCUAACUCCUGGUGUCUAGCAAGUUGUUCCUGCUCUUGCUCCCCUGUGGCGGGAAGCGUACAAAUGGCCAUUAAGGAUUAUAUUGUCUGAUAGCCCAAACAUCAAGAACCUCUAACUUAAAAAAAAAUAAAUUCAGAUUGGUGAUUCUCAAAAACAUUUAAUCACUGCCUGGCAAUAAUACUCUACGGAAGUAGUUUUCCAGGUUAUAACUUUCUGUAGAAUAUGUUCAUUACAUUCCUUCAUUUGCCUGUAAGUUAACAUGGUUCCAAAAGUUAAAGGCCCCAAAUGAAUGCGGAAGUGUUAAAAUAUGUGUGAUUAUGCACACAUUUUAUUUUCUGCACUACUGUUUUGUUUUAAAUAUUUCAUUUAAAAAAUUUUAUUAACAUUACUUGCAUGUUCAAUGCUUUUGUGAUGUAUCAAUUAAAAUUAUUUUCAAUAUAAAAAAUAAAUGAAGAAGCUCUGAUUUCUUUCUGCAAA